rnacentral:lncRNA from 1 species
AAUUUUCAAUUCUUUACUUACUAUCAUACAUUAUUGUCGUACAGGUCCCACCUAAGUUAAUGGGAACAAUCACAUGUCAAUUUGUAGCUGCAUUCCAUACCAACAGAGUAAGUAUUCCCAGAUAAUGGAUGCAGUUAUCCUAUAAAACUUAGAAAAGACCACAACAAAUACUUCUUCGCUAUGGAUUGAAGCAAUUUAGAAAAGAGUUGAACAUUCAAGAAGCUAUCACCGUCACUUAUGCUGCCACCCAUAAAGAUUGGAUAUUCAAUCUUCACUUCAU